rnacentral:rRNA from 1 species
AUUGAACGCUGGCGGCAUGCCUUACACAUGCAAGUCGAACGGUAACAGGUCUUCGGAUGCUGACGAGUGGCGAACGGGUGAGUAAUACAUCGGAACGUGCCUAGUAGUGGGGGAUAACUACUCGAAAGAGUGGCUAAUACCGCAUGAGAUCUACGGAUGAAAGCAGGGGAUCGCAAGACCUUGUGCUACUAGAGCGGCCGAUGGCAGAUUGGGUAGUUGGUGGGAUAAAAGCUUACCAAGCCGACGAUCUGUAGCUGGUAUGAGAGGACGAGCAGACACACGGGGAGUGAGACACGGCCCGCACUCCUACGGGAGGCAGAAGUGGGGAAUUUUGGACAAUGGGCGCAAGCCUGAUCCAGCAAUGCCGCGUGCAGGAUGAAGGCCUUCGGGUUGUAAACUGCUUUUGUACGGAACGAAAAGCCCUGGGUUAAUACCCUGGGGUCAUGACGGUACCGUAAGAAUAAGCACCGGCUAACUACGUGCCAGCCGCCGCGGUAAAAC